GACGAACGCUGGCGGCGUGCUUAACACAUGCAAGUCGAACGGAAAGGCCCUGCUUUUGUGGGGUGCUCGAGUGGCGAACGGGUGAGUAACACGUGAGUAAACUGCCCUUGACUUUGGGAUAACUUCAGGAAACUGGGGCUAAUACCGGAUAGGAGCUCCUGCUGCAUGGUGGGGGUUGGAAAGUUUCGGCGGUUGGGGAUGGACUCGCGGCUUAUGAGCUUGUUGGUGGGGUAGUGGCUUACCAAGGCUUUGACGGGUAGCCGGCCUGAGAGGGUGACCGGCCACAUUGGGACUGAGAUACGGCGCAGACUCGUACGGGAGGCAGAAGUGGGGAAUAUUGCACAAUGGGCGGAAGCCUGAUGCAGCAACGCCGCGUGCGGGAUGACGGCCUUCGGGUUGUAAACCGCUUUCGCCUGUGACGAAGCGGGAGUGACGGUAAUGGGUAAAGAAGCACCGGCUAACUACGUG
rnacentral:rRNA from 1 species